AAAUUUAAAAUAUUUCAUACUCGAGUUUUUUUUAUUCAUAACAGUUCACACCUGUAGAAAUAAAAUAAUUUAGAAAUAUUGAUCAUCAAAUAUUAAGUGCAAUGCAUGAGAUACCUAUAUUAUAUAAAUAUUAGCUUAAAAAUGCAAAUAUUCUGUCCUAUUGCGAGAGGCUGAGUUAGAUUGAAUAAUAUUCAAAGUAGUGGGAGGUCGGAUUAUCCGUGGGUACUGUACUUAUAUUUUUUAAAUAAAUUAGUUAUAUUUUCUAAUAAUUUUGAGCUUUUAAAAUUACUGGUUAGCGACAAUGAUCCUUAGCAAACC
rnacentral:lncRNA from 1 species